rnacentral:rRNA from 1 species
GAUGAACGCUAGCGGGAGGCCUAACACAUGCAAGCCGAGCGGUAUUGCUUCUUCGGAAAUGAGAGAGCGGCGUACGGGUGCGUAACACGUGUGCAACCUGCCUUUAUCUGGGGGAUAGCCUUGCGAAAGGAAGAUUAAUACUCCAUAAUAUAUUGAACGGCAUCGUUUAAUAUUGAAAGCUCCGGCGGAUAGAGAUGGGCACUCGAAAGAUUAGCUAGUUGGUGAGGUAACGGCUCACCAAGGCGAUGAUCUUUAGUGGGCCUGAGAGGGUGAUCCCCCACACUGGUACUGAGACACGGACCAGACUCCUACGGGAGGCAGCAGUGAGGAAUAUUGGUCAAUGGGUGCAAGCCUGAACCAGCCAUCCCGCGUGAAGGACGACUGCCCUAUGGGUUGUAAACUUCUUUUGUAUAGGGAUAAACCUACCCUCGUGAGGGUAGCUGAAGGUACUAUACGAAUAAGCACCGGCUAACUCCGUGCCAGCCGCCGCGGUAA